rnacentral:rRNA from 1 species
AGAGUUUGAUCCUGGCUCAGGACGAACGCUGGCGGCGUGCCUAACACAUGCAAGUCGAGCGGAGACAGUGAGUAGCUUGCUAUGAGCUGUUUUAGCGGCGGACGGGUGAGUAACGCGUGAGCAACCUUUCCCAGACAGGGGAAUAACACACCGAAAGGUGUACUAAUACCGCAUAGACCACGGGAUCACAUGGUUCUGGGGUAAAAGAUUUAUCGGUUUGGGGUGGGCUCGCGUCCGAUUAGGUAGUUGGUGAGGUAACGGCCCACCAAGCCGACGAUCGGUAGCCGACCUGAGAGGGUGAUCGGCCACAUUGGGACUGAGACACGGCCCAAACUCCUACGGGAGGCAGCAGUGGGAAUAUUGGGCAAUGGAGGAAACUCUGACCCAGCAACGCCGCGUGGAGGAAGAAGGUUUUCGGAUCGUAAACUCCUGUCCUUGGAGACGAGUAGAAGACGGUAUCCAAGGAGGAAGCCCCGGCUAACUACGUGCCAGCAGCCGCGGUAAUACGUAGGGGGCAAGCGUUGUCCGGAAUAAUUGGGCGUAAAGGGCGCGUAGGCGGCUCGGUAAGUCUGGAGUGAAAGUCCUGCUUUUAAGGUGGGAAUUGCUUUGGAUACUGUCGGGCUUGAGUGCAGGAGAGGUUAGUGGAAUUCCCAGUGUAGCGGUGAAAUGCGUAGAGAUUGGGAGGAACACCAGUGGCGAAGGCGACUAACUGGACUGUAACUGACGCUGAGGCGCGAAAGUGUGGGGAGCAAACAGGAUUAGAUACCCUGGUAGUCCACACUGUAAACGAUGAAUGCUAGGUGUAGGGGGUAUCGACCCCUUCUGUGCCGCAGUCAACACAAUAAGCAUUCCGCCUGGGGAGUACGGCCGCAAGGUUGAAACUCAAAGGAAUUGACGGGGGCCCGCACAAGCAGCGGAGCAUGUGGUUUAAUUCGACGCAACGCGAAGAACCUUACCAGGUCUUGACAUCCACUUAAACUUACAGAGAUGUAAGGUGUGCUUGCACAAAGUGAGACAGGUGGUGCAUGGUUGUCGUCAGCUCGUGUCGUGAGAUGUUGGGUUAAGUCCCGCAACGAGCGCAACCCUUAUCUUCAGUUACUAACGCGUAGAGGUGAGGACUCUGAAGAGACUGCCGGGGACAACUCGGAGGAAGGUGGGGACGACGUCAAAUCAUCAUGCCCCUUAUGACCUGGGCUACACACGUGCUACAAUGGCCACGACAGAGAGAAGCGAAAUCGCAAGGUAGAGCGGAACUCAAAAAAGUGGUCCCAGUUCGGAUUGUGGGCUGCAACCCGCCCACAUGAAGUCGGAGUUGCUAUUAAUCGCGGAUCAGCAUGCCGCGGUGAAUACGUUCCCGGGCCUUGUACACACCGCCCGUCACACCAUGGGAGUUGGGAGUGCCCAAAGCCGGUGAGGCAACCGCAAGGAGCCAGCCGUCUAAGGCAAGACCAAUGACUGGGGUGAAGUCGGAACAAGGUA